rnacentral:rRNA from 1 species
AGUGAACGCUGGCGGCGUGCCUAAUACAUGCAAGUCGAACGGAGUGGCGCACGGGUGAGUAAUAUAUAGCUAAUCUGCCCCUUGCUGGAGGACAACAGUUAGAAAUGACUGCUAAUACUCCAUAGCAAGGGUUGAGACUAUAUCGUAUUAGCUAGUCGGUGGGGUACCGGCCUACCGAGGCGAUGACGCGUAACUGGUCUGAGAGGAUGAUCAGUAGCAUUGGAACGGAGGCACGGUCCAGACACCUUCGGGAGGGAGCGAUAGGGUGUAACACGCAAGGGGGGAGUGCCUGGCAGAUCAACGGCGCGUGGAGGAUGAUACUUUGCGGAGCGUAAACUCCUUUUGUUAGGUAGGCGGUACCUAACGAAUAAGCACCGGCUAACUCCGUGCCAGCAGCCGCGGUAAUAC